GAUGAACGUUGGCGGCGUGGAUUAGGCAUGCAAGUCGCGCGAUUUCCUUCGGGGAAGAGCGGCGGAAGGGAGAGUAACGCGUAGAUACCUACCCUCGGGACUGGAAUAGCGACGGGAAACUGUCGGUAAUGCCAGAUAACGUCCCGGGACGAAAGGUGUGAAUCCGCCUGAGGAGGGGUCUGCGUCCUAUUAGCUAGUUGGCGGGGUAACGGCCCACGAAGGCGAAGAUGGGUACCGGGCGUGAGAGCGUGACCCGGCUCCAUGGGACUGAGACACUGCCCAGACACCUACGGGUGGCGGCAGUCGAGAAUCUUCGGCAAUGCGCGCAAGCUUGACCGAGCGACGCCGCGUGCGGGAUGAAGGCUUUCGGGUUGUAAGCCGCUGUCAGUGGGGAGGAAAUUCUUGGGGGUACUCCCCCUUGAUUGACCGAUCCGCAGAGGAAGGACGGGCUAAGUUCGUGCCAGCAGCAGCCGCGGUAA
rnacentral:rRNA from 1 species